CUCAGAUAGAUACUAACACAAUUAUUUGUAUUAAACUGCCUCUGAUCAUCAGCAGAUAAUUUUACUUUGACAAAAUAUACAGACUUUCACAAAGCUGGAUUUCAACUAACCAUUUCAAAACUCAAUGAAAUACUACAAAACUUACUGACAGAGUUUAAUUGCUAUUACUUUGGCAAUCCUGAGAGAAUUCAGCAUUUGUACAGUUGUAAGAAAGGAGACAGAAGGAAAUGGCUUUCAUAGCAUCCCGAGUACAAGAGCUGACAUGCAAGAAGAGGAAAAAUUGAACCUGGACCCAGGGAUGGGGCACCCAUAGCUUCUCUGGGCAGGAGUGCCAGUGCCUCAGCACUCUCUGAGGCAGAGGAGUAGGGGCAGCUGCACCAGCAAGUUACUUCUAAAGCUGGUCUACCAGGUCAGAAGUAAUACAAAUCCACGUUGUAUCACUGCUGUGUUUAGCAGAGGAUUUGAGUUCAGAGAGGAAACAGAAGUCCUGAUCCUGACUUUAUCCACGCCAUUUUUAACACAGUGCAAUUCCUCUGACUCCUGUGGAGUGUUUUCUACCACACUGAAGUGAAUAAGAUUGGAACUACAGAAAACCUCUCAGAACAAGCAUGCCUUCUAUCAUGUUUCAUUGCCACUAGCGCCAUCACAUUGUGCCCCUGGGUCUUGCUGAUGCACUGGCUGAUUUUCCCCUUACUCAGCCACAGAAGAUACAGCAGAAACACAUUGCUUCAGCAC
ensembl:lncRNA